rnacentral:rRNA from 1 species
GACGAACGUUGGCGGCGUUGCUUAACACAUGCAAGUCGAACGGAAAGGCCCUGCUUUUGUGGGGUGCUCGAGUGGCGAACGGGUGAGUAACACGUGAGUAACCUGCCCUUGACUUUGGGAUAACUUCAGGAAACUGGGGCUAAUACCGGAUAGGAGCUCCUGCUGCAUGGUGGGGGUUGGAAAGUUUCGGCGGUUGGGGAUGGACUCGCGGCUUAUCAGCUUGUUGGUGGGGUAGUGGCUUACCAAGGCUUUGACGGGUAGCCGGCCUGAGAGGGUGACCGGCCACAUUGGGACUGAGAUACGGCCCAGACUCCUACGGGAGGCAGCAGUGGGGAAUAUUGCACAAUGGGCGGAAGCCUGAUGCAACAACGCCGCGUGCGGGAUGACGGCCUUCGGGUUGUAAACCGCUUUCGCCUGUGACGAAGCGUGAGUGACGGUAAUGGGUAAAGAAGCACCGGCUAACUACGUGCCAGCAGCCGCGGUGAUACGUAGGGUGCGAGCGUUGUCCGGAUUUAUUGGGCGUAAAGGGCUCGUAGGUGGUUGAUCGCGUCGGAAGUGUAAUCUUGGGGCUUAACCCUGAGCGUGCUUUCGAUACGGGUUGACUUGAGGAAGGUAGGGGAGAAUGGAAUUCCUGGUGGAGCGGUGGAAUGCGCAGAUAUCAGGAGGAACACCAGUGGCGAAGGCGGUUCUCUGGGCCUUUCCUGACGCUGAGGAGCGAAAGCGUGGGGAGCGAACAGGCUUAGAUACCCUGGUAGUCCACGCUGUAAACGGUGGGUACUAGGUGUGGGGUCCAUUCCACGGGUUCCGUGCCGUAGCUAACGCUUUAAGUACCCCGCCUGGGGAGUACGGCCGCAAGGCUAAAACUCAAAGGAAUUGACGGGGCCCCGCACAAGCGGCGGAGCAUGCGGAUUAAUUCGAUGCAACGCGUAGAACCUUACCUGGGUUUGACAUGGAUCGGGAGUGCUCAGAGAUGGGUGUGCCUCUUUUGGGGUCGGUUCACAGGUGGUGCAUGCCUGUCGUCAGCUCGUGUCGUGAGAUGUUGGGUUAAGUCCCGCAACGAGCGCAACCCUUGUUCACUGUUGCCAGCACGUUAUGGUGGGGACUCAGUGGAGACCGCCGGGGUCAACUCGGAGGAAGGUGGGGAUGACGUCAAGUCAUCAUGCCCCUUAUGUCCAGGGCUUCACGCAUGCUACAAUGGCUGGUACAGAGAGUGGCGAGCCUGUGAGGGUGAGCGAAUCUCGGAAAGCCGGUCUCAGUUCGGAUUGGGGUCUGCAACUCGACCCCAUGAAGUCGGAGUCGCUAGUAAUCGCAAAUCAGCAACGCUGCGGUGAAUACGUUCCCGGGGCU